CGACCGGCGCACGGGUGAGUAACGCGUAUGUAAUCUACCUGUAACAGAGGGAUAACCCGGAGAAAUCCGGACUAAUACCUCAUAGCACUAAUAUUAUUCGCAUGAAUUUUAUGUUAAAGAGACUCGGUUACAGAUGAACAUGCGUUCCAUUAGCUAGUUGGCGGGGUUACGGCCCACCAAGGCAACGAUGGAUAGGGGUUCUGAGAGGAAGGUCCCCCACAUUGGAACUGAGACACGGUCCAA
rnacentral:rRNA from 1 species